ACUCCUACGGGAGGCAGCAGGUGGGGAAUCUUGCGCAAGUGGGCGAAAGCCUGACGCAGCGACGCCGCGUGGGUGACGAAGGCCUUCGGGUUGUAAAGCCCUGUGGGGUAGAACGAACUGGCAUCGGGCUAAUAUCCCGGUGUCUUGACGGUACUGCCUUAGCAAGCAUCGGCUAACUCUGUGCCAGCAGCCGCGGUAAU
rnacentral:rRNA from 1 species